rnacentral:lncRNA from 1 species
AAACUUUAGUUUUGACUCUCAAAAAUAAAAACCAAGUCUUCUAAACAUUUUUCAAUACUUCACGAAAUUCGCCAACUUAUAAAAUCCUUAACAAUCUCCUCCUUUGGCGAUUUCGUGACAAAAUACAAAAAGAAUUUACAAUGCUUAUCCCCAAACAAAAAUAAGAAGGUUAUUGCAAUCACCAAACAACAACCUUCUGCAUGAUCGAUCCAAUAAAAAUAAAAUAACAAAAUUAUAUUUUUCUCAUCCUAAUACAAACUCUAUGACUUAGGACACGACAUAGA